rnacentral:lncRNA from 1 species
UCUCACUUAGGCGGCAGGCUCGGAGACUUAUUGAACGCUGCCAGAACAAGCAGGGAAAUCUGGCCCUGGAUAUGGAGUCCCCCCUCCUCCCUGCAGGGAGGAUUCCCAGUGCAGCUCUCCUGGAGUGGAGCAAUUUCCUUGCUGAACCUCUCAAACAUCACCCAGGGAAACAUUUCCUGAUCCUGAAACCUCCCAGAUAAGAUUCCAGAAAAAGGACCGCUUCUCCUUUUCAACUUCAACUCUGGCUUCCAAAGGACUUGAAAGAGAAUCAUGUGCAUUAACCAGAGAAAUCUGGCCUAAAAUGAACAUUUAAAUGCAACAUGAAUUAAUGGGUGAGCUUUUUAGUAGGUGAAAUGUUGGAGUCUAUACAAAUUGACAUUUUUU